ACAAGCAUAGUAAUGUGGGGCUAAAGUUUUUGUAUUGAGAGGCAUUGAUCACGUGGAUAGUCAGAGGCUUUUUUCCCAGGGCUGAAAUGGCUAGCACGAGAGGGUAUAGCUUUAAGGUGCUUGGAAGUAGAUACAGAGGAGAUGUCAGGGGUAAGUUUUUUACACAGAGAGUGGUGAGUGCGUGGAAUGGGCUGCCAGUGGCGGUGGUGGAGGCGGAAAUGAUAGGGUCUUUUAAGGAAGUCCUGGAUGGAUACAUGGAGCUUCGAAAAAUAGGAUAGUUCUAAGCCAAUGAAAAACCUUCAGUCUUGGUGGAGAAAGGCUUGCAGCCCAGCAUCUAACAGGUGUCUCUCUCAGUUACUGUAUCCACAUUUCCUUGAUUCCAGGCAUACCCAAUAUAUCCAUAAUAGUAUUGAUGAAGACCACACCAACUUGGGCAUUCAACCAGUAUGCAAAAGACAAUAAACUGUGCAAAUAUAAAAGGAAAGAAAUAAUAAUAAUAAAUAAAUAAACAAUAAAUAUUGAGGGAUGAGCUGAAGAGUCCUUGAAAGUGAGUCCAUAGGUUGUGGGUACAUUUCAAUGAUGGGGCAAGUGAAGUUGAGUGAAGCUUGGUUCAAGGGCCUGAUGGUUGAGGGGUAACAACUGAUCUUGGUGGUGCGAGUCCUCAGGCUCCUGUACCUUCUUCC